AUGUGUGUGUAAUAUACAUAUGUAUUUAUAUGUAUGUGUGUGUAGUGCUUUUCGAGAUGCUGAACAAAAGUUCAACAAAAGUACUAUAAUACUCUCAGAGGACAGUGGUGAUUGAAAACCAAUUUAUUUUCCAAAAAGUAACUGCAGUAAAAACAAGACACACAGGCAGACUUUCCCAUCUCUACACAUUCAAACAUAUUCAUUUUUAUAUGAUUUGGGAAUACACUAUAUUUUAACCUUUUUUUUUUUUUGUAUAUAAAAUAUCCUGUGUCUCUGAACUCUUAAACAUCCACUACACACAAUCACUGCUUAGACAUGACUGGAUCCAUCCUUUGUAUCUUCCAUUGUAUUAUAAACAAGCCCAUGUUUUUGUAGUGUGGAUCAUCAUCAUCAUCAUCAUCAUCAUCAUCAUCAUCAAUGGGGACAUGUUUUCAUCUUACAAAGCCACAGGUAAGAUAAAAAUAAAUCCAUGUCUAACAGUCUUCGUUAUAAAUUUAAAAAAAAAAGCUUAAAGCUUAAACAAGUCCUUUUAAAGAGGGUGGGGUCAGUUGAUUCAAAGUGUGGUUCUGUGAGGCACUGAUGCAUUCAUAGUUCGUGCAGGGCCGUCGGAUCCAGCUGAGAUACUCAGCUGCUAAUGUAUGUGAUAAAACUAUGUUUAUCCCACAACAGGAAAUUGAUCUUCUAGUCUCCUCAAGCAAAUCCUGUGAAUCCGUGGUACGCAGGGGUUUCAAGUAGGACGAUAUUUUCACGGACCAGCCGUCAAAGUUUGUGUUGCGUACCUGUGAGAGCCUCUCUUUGUUCCAUCCGGAGCCGAUGAUGAAAGCCACCAGCUGACCUUCUUCAAACCAACCCAGUGAAAGCUCUGGACACUGGCUGAGGAAGUUCAGGACCUCGUCCAAGACACUGACGGAGUUUGUGGUUGGACUCGACUGACCCUGUGACACGUCUGGACCCAUUUUCCAAUCGAUGGACUUGCUUCGCUCAGGGCAGGAUUAGAACCGGCAAUCACUCUCAGACCUCAUCAGACUCACACUCUCUGGCCGUGACUGGUGGUUCAAAGAGGUGAACGUUUGCAGCAGGUGGCGCCGUUCUGUGUAAUUCUGCUGAUACCACAGAGAAGCCCUCAAACACGGGAGUAUUAACCUUCACCUCUAUUUGACCCGGUUGCUGGUUUGGUUCCGGAGAUGCUGGGUCAAUUUUUUUUUUUUUUUUUUCAAAUGAAAAUGAUUGUGUUUGAAACCUUCAUGGUCAGAAUGUAAAAAGAAAUCUGACCAAUAUGUCUAUAGUAUAAAACCAGACCUAUGUAUGUGUUUGUAAAGGCCAAGAAUGUAAACAGGAAGUGCUGGACUAGUUUACAAUGAGGCUACAUAAUUAUUUUUAAGGCUGCUGUCGCCUAAAUUAAUGAUGGAAUAAAAUAGUGAAUAGUUUCCUGUAUGACAGGAAAAUGUUAUUUAUAGUCUCUAAUUUCAUAUAGAGGAACAGCAAAAGAGACGAUGCAGAAAAGGGUAAACUAAGGCGGAAACCAGUCACGCUGCCCCUCAUGACGUAUCGAGGUUCGACUAAACGGUACCUUUUGAUUGUUGUCGAUCACCAAUGACGCACUUCCGGUUAAAUCGCUCCGCUUCACUUUGCAACCAGGUACGUCGGUGAACUUUUUAAAGAUAUAUAUAUAUAUACGAUCUGUGGUUUUGUCACUGCGAAAACACUGUUGAAACGCAUGUCGCAUCGCGUCUCGAUUCAGAGACGUUUACAUUUUGUAAUCUGCGGUUAAAUUUGAGAUUGUACGGAGGUUUGUUAGGUUUAAUGUGGCUGUAUUCUUUUCCCAUUUCUGCUGUCUGUAGCGUGGGGUUAAUCAGUGUGAUCACGUCCACCCGUGUCUCUGUGAUGUGUCACCUGGUGUCCUGGGUCCAUGAUGUUUUGAAAAGAGCAUGCCUGUAAUCGAUGCUUCAUUCCUGUAAGUUUUUUUCUCUUCUUUUUGCUCUGUUAAUAAACCUGAAGAGAGUCUCCCGAGUGCUGCCAUUGGGUCCAGUCUAUUUCCAACCAUAUCAACAUGUAACAGUACAGUGAUCCCUCUCCUAUCGCGGUAGUUGCGUUCCAAGACCCACUGAGAAUAAUGCGUAAAUACAUAUUGUGGGGGCACAUAGUAAAGAAAAAUAAAGGCUGUAACUGCAGACAAGGGGAGAUGCUACGAUGCAUGAGACAAUCAGCGUAAGGAAAGCUACCAGCUUUUAGUUUAUAUAUAUAUUACUGUUUAUUUUUUAAGGUUACAAAAUGUUUUUUAAUAACAAAAAUAAUGUACAUUAAAAAGUCCUUAAAAUACCACGAUAUAGCGAAAGGAGAACCGCGAUAUAGAGAGGAAACACUGUAUUGACGUAAUGUUUAUGUGAAAUGUCAACAAAUGUGAGUUUUUCCUUGUACCAGUGGGCUUAAUACCAGAGCUGUUGUGUUGUUGUAUUCAUAUAGAAUCACCUAAA